rnacentral:rRNA from 2 species
CGGCAUGCCUAAUACAUGCAAGUCGAACGAGCUUCCGUUGAAUGACGUGCUUGCACUGAUUUCAACAAUGAAGCGAGUGGCGAACUGGUGAGUAACACGUGGGAAAUCUGCCCAGAAGCAGGGGAUAACACUUGGAAACAGGUGCUAAUACCGUAUAACAACAAAAUCCGCAUGGAUUUUGUUUGAAAGGUGGCUUCGGCUAUCACUUCUGGAUGAUCCCGCGGCGUAUUAGUUAGUUGGUGAGGUAAAGGCCCACCAAGACGAUGAUACGUAGCCGACCUGAGAGGGUAAUCGGCCACAUUGGGACUGAGACACGGCCCAAACUCCUACGGGAGGCAGCAGUAGGGAAUCUUCCACAAUGGACGAAAGUCUGAUGGAGCAAUGCCGCGUGAGUGAAGAAGGGUUUCGGCUCGUAAAACUCUGUUGUUAAAGAAGAACACCUUUGAGAGUAACUGUUCAAG